UUUAACAGCUUCAGCAUAUGUCACGCCAAGGGAAAGACAAUUGCAACAGAGUAAAAAGAAACACACAGAAGGAAACAUGUACCAUCCAGAAGCAGGAAUCUUACCUCCAUCCCAUCUAGCUUCCUGGUUCCUGUGCAGCAGCGAAGACGAGGGUAACUGCUACAACACCACAGAAGCUGCAGGCAUUUAUAGUGCUCCCACUGAGCAAUAGUUGCAUUUGGAAUAUUUAUCCUUCUGUGAACAAAAGGGUUGUAAGAAUGGUUUUCAGACAGUUCCUGGCUCCUACCUCAGUCCCUUAGCUGCAUUAAGAGCUAUACAAGACCCAGGAGACUCUUCUCUAAUAGAACCUGUGUUUGAAGCAGAUGGAAAGGGCCCUACUCUCACAGCCUUCCAUGAAGUUCUCACAGCAGUUUAACAUCUGGAGGGCAUGACGGUUGUAGAGAGUCCUCUUUACCUCCUGAUAUUUUAUGCUGUGCUUUUCCAUGAUGUGUCACAGAGUAAACAGAGUACACACAGUUUUUGGUUUACCAGGCAAGGAAGGGAGCAUGACAGUUAUCACAUUGCUGGUUUAUUCUUAAACAACUUUCAUUUAAGUUGCUGUUGGUCUGAAGAUCAGUAUUUCCUCUCCGUGAACUGUCUUACACUUAUAGAGUUCUAAAUGGAAAAAAAAACUUUUUGUUUAAAUUACAUCCAGCAAAGCACUGACAGACAUGUUGUAUAUCUUACUACAGUUGGCUGAUACUGGAAGCUCUCAAACACUUAGUAGACAUGAAAUAUGCAUCGGUGUAUUGUAACUGGUGUUGCACCUCAGCUGCAUAUGGAUCUUAGCAGAUAUGGAUCUCUAAUUUCAGAGAUCCAUUUUCAAAUUUGGUCUUAUAUUUGGUUCUUCAUAUCCAGGUAACUUAAAUGUGGAGAUGGGAGUGUGUUAUGUAGGCUGAACUCUCAGGUCUUCUGAAAACGUAGAAUUGUAAAAAUGCAGUUAUAUGCUUCUUGCCAACAGCAAGUAUCAGCAUUACCAUGCAUUUUUAUUGUUUAGGGUCUGCUCCUGCUCACCUUUGCUGUCUCUGAUUCACAUGAGUCAAAUGGCACAGCACACACACAGACACACAUAGCUUUAACACAUCCUGUUCUGAAGAACAGCCAUAGAGAACUACUUCUUUUCUGGAACUGCUAAUGAAGGCGUAGUGCUAGAUUAAACAAGUGUAUAAAAACAAGAACCUAGUGAUACAGUAUUAGAUAACAACUGUGCCUGGGAAGUGAAAGGAAAAAUAUUAAGCACUGUAAGUGUAGCUGAUGGCAAGGAAACUUGCAGUACUGGCAGUUACGCUCUUAAAUAAAGCCUAGCCUCCUUGUCUGUAGUUUACUGGCUUGAUCCUUCAAAGGGAAACAGCUGUAUGUGUAACUUUUUAGAAUUUUACGGAAAAAAAAACACCAAAACCAAACCACUUAGUCCUUAUUUUCUGUACCAGCAAUUAGUAAA